CUUGUCCCUCUACCCUGAAAUACUCCCAAUCGAACCAUCCCGGAGCGCACAAUUGCAGCGAUCCCCACUGCCAUGGAUUCGACCGAUAUAGCGCCCUCCUCGCCGUCCGCCGCCGGUCUCUCCACCCUUCGCUUCCGAGACCGCCGCGGGCACCCUCACAGCUUCAACAAGAAAAAGAAACCCAGCAUCUCCUCCGCCCCCAAAUCCACCCACGAUUGCCGCCGCCGAGAUAGAGGCGGCGACACUUUCUCCUCGACCCCUCCUCGGCCGCCGGCGAGCUUCUCCGACCUUCCUUUCGAUGUGCUAGCUAGGGUGGCAGCCCCCUUCGAUGUGCCCAACCUGUGGGCGGCGAGUAUGGUGUGCCGCGCCUGGCGGGAAUCACUCCGGCCGCUGCGGGAGGCCAUGAUCUUGCUCCGCUGGGGAAAACGCUUCCGGCACGGCCAUGGAGGGGUCCGCCCCAACCCGCAACGCGCUCUCGAGUACUUCCUCAAGGGCGCCGCUCUAGGGUCCGCCCCUGCCAUGGUGGACGCCGGAGUCAUGUAUGGGGAAAUGGGAGAGAAAGAGAAAGCCAUGGCUUUGUAUGAGAAAGCUGCCGAGGUCGGGCAUCCAGUCGGUCAAUCCAAUCUUGGCACCUGCUACUUGGAAGCUGACUUGCCUGAGAAGGCUGUGACAUGGUUUCGUCAAGCAGCUGAAUCAGGCUACGCACGUGCACAGUAUAAUUUGGCACUCUGCCUGCAUAGAGGUCGUGGAGUUGAAUGCAAUCUGCAAGAUGCUGCAAAGUGGUAUUUGAAAGCAGCAGAAGGGGGAAACAUACGUGCCAUGUAUAAUACUUCCUUGUGCUACUCUCUCGGUGAAGGGAAGCCACGGAAUAUUCCACGUGCCAGGAUGUGGUUGAAACUUGCUGCAGACUGUGGCCACAAAAAGGCUCAGUUUGAGCAUGGCCUUGAGCUUUUCAUUUCAGGUAAUAUGAUUAAGGCUCUUGUGUACUUUGAACUGGCCAAACGAGCUGGAGAAACUGCUGCUUCAAAUAUGAGGGAUCUGAUACUUCAAAGUCUGUCGCAAACUUCACGAGAUUGUGCCAUGUUAUCUGUUGACAAAUGGCGGCCUUUACAAUUUCAUCACUAAUAGGAUUUCUAAAGAAGAGUAAAUAUUUUUACACAAUAUCAGGGUUGAUUGGAUUGAGGCAUGCCCUGUCCAUGGAUGAACUACUAGAGGGCGGAGGGUGAGGCAGGUAGUUGUUAUCGAGGGCUUCCCUAAUCACACAAAUUCAGAAAAUGUUAAGGUGCUGAAAUAUCUUUUUUCUUUUUUUCCCACACUUCAAUCUUUUUUCUGUAAUAGUGGGAAGCCCUUCUUUCCUGAUCAGAGCACCUCUUUCUCAUUCGGCUGCUACAGACCUCACACCAGGACUUGAGAGGCAGUUUAUCCAAUGGACAGAGCAUGCAGGCAUCUAAAAACAGGAGAAGGAAUUUAUUCCUGUUGAGGAGGUAUGCAUGUCAUGGUGCCAUGCGCUUCUUGAUGUGGCUGUAAGCAAUCUUUCAGCAACAAGCUGCAAGGCAAGGAAGUAUCAUUACCAUAAUGUUGUCAUCUUGUUGAAGAUCUUUUCCACUAUUAUCUCAAACUUUGACAUAUAUGGAGUGUUACCGUAGGAAAGGUUAUUGUAGCUUAUAUAUAUAAAUAAAUAUUUACAUUAUUGGAUGAUAUGCACCAGUUUAGCAGGUUGCAGCCUGAAAGCUUGUGUACAUCAAAUAGCUUAAUGCACACAAAGGUGCCUGGUUGGUGACUUCCUAGCAACACAGGUAUCUGCGGAUGAUGACUUCAUCCUUAUAACUGUUAUUUUUAUUGGUGAUCUUGUUUAUUGCAUAGAAUCACUGCUAUUGGUGGUUGUAAAAUAAGAAAUCGAGAAUAAACAAAAUUUAGAUGGAUGUGUUUGGACCCGA